rnacentral:rRNA from 1 species
UACGAAGGGGGCUAGCGUUGCUCGGAAUCACUGGGCGUAAAGGGCGCGUAGGCGGAUCUUUAAGUCGGGGGUGAAAGCCCAGGGCUCAACCCUGGAAUUGCCUUCGAUACUGGAGAUCUUGAGACCGGAAGAGGUAAGUGGAACUGCGAGUGUAGAGGUGAAAUGCGUAGAUAUUGGGAGGAACACCAGUGGCGAAGGCGGCUCACUGGACCGGUACUGACGCUGAUGCGCGAAAGCGUGGGGAGCAAACAGG